AGAGUUUGAUCCUGGCUCAGAACGAACGCUGGCGGCGUGGAUAAGACAUGCAAGUCGAACGAGAGAAUUGCUAGCUUGCUAAUAAUUCUCUAGUGGCGCACGGGUGAGUAACACGUGAGUAACCUGCCCCCGAGAGCGGGAUAGCCCUGGGAAACUGGGAUUAAUACCGCAUAGUAUCGAAAGAUUAAAGCAGCAAUGCGCUUGGGGAUGGGCUCGCGGCCUAUUAGUUAGUUGGUGAGGUAACGGCUCACCAAGGCGAUGACGGGUAGCCGGUCUGAGAGGAUGUCCGGCCACACUGGAACUGAGACACGGUCCAGACACCUACGGGUGGCAGCAGUCGAGAAUCAUUCACAAUGGGGGAAACCCUGAUGGUGCGACGCCGCGUGGGGGAAUGAAGGUCUUCGGAUUGUAAACCCCUGUCAUGUGGGAGCAAAUUAAAAAGAUAGUACCACAAGAGGAAGAGACGGCUAACUCUGUGCCAGCAGCCGCGGUAAUACAGAGGUCUCAAGCGUUGUUCGGAAUCACUGGGCGUAAAGCGUGCGUAGGCUGUUUCGUAAGUCGUGUGUGAAAGGCGCGGGCUCAACCCGCGGACGGCACAUGAUACUGCGAGACUAGAGUAAUGGAGGGGGAACCGGAAUUCUCGGUGUAGCAGUGAAAUGCGUAGAUAUCGAGAGGAACACUCGUGGCGAAGGCGGGUUCCUGGACAUUAACUGACGCUGAGGCACGAAGGCCAGGGGAGCGAAAGGGAUUAGAUACCCCUGUAGUCCUGGCAGUAAACGGUGCACGCUUGGUGUGCGGGGAAUCGACCCCCUGCGUGCCGGAGCUAACGCGUUAAGCGUGCCGCCUGGGGAGUACGGUCGCAAGAUUAAAACUCAAAGAAAUUGACGGGGACCCGCACAAGCGGUGGAGUAUGUGGCUUAAUUCGAUGCAACGCGAAGAACCUUACCUGGGCUUGACAUGUAAUGAACAACAUGUGAAAGCAUGCGACUCUUCGGAGGCGUUACACAGGUGCUGCAUGGCCGUCGUCAGCUCGUGUCGUGAGGUGUUUGGUUAAGUCCAGCAACGAGCGCAACCCCUGUUGCCAGUUACCAGCACGUGAAGGUGGGGACUCUGGCGAGACUGCCCAGAUCAACUGGGAGGAAGGUGGGGACGACGUCAGGUCAGUAUGGCCCUUAUGCCCAGGGCUGCACACGUACUACAAUGCCCAGUACAGAGGGGGCCGAAGCCGCGAGGCGGAGGAAAUCCUAAAAACUGGGCCCAGUUCGGACUGUAGGCUGCAACCCGCCUACACGAAGCCGGAAUCGCUAGUAAUGGCGCAUCAGCUACGGCGCCGUGAAUACGUUCCCGGGUCUUGCACUCACCGCCCGUCA
rnacentral:rRNA from 1 species